CGCGCGAGGAGGAAAAAACGCUCGCUCCGAUGUACCUCCUCAGGUGUGUCUCACCUGCUCUCUGACAGGAAGACAAACACCUCGCACCGCCCCCACACAGGUGAUUCUGACGCGCCGCUGACGUCAACGACAACAGGUUCUUGCAGCGCAGGCUUACCGCUGCUAAAACUAAACAGAGCUCCCUGAAAGGCACAGCCAAUCACAUUGGCCAUAUUUGUCACAUAAGAGAUCAAAUUAUUGGUGGGGACAUGUCCCUUCCGUCCAUGCCAAAUCUACGCCUGUCCUUGUCGAGCCAUCACUCCAUCUUGUACAUCUGAUUUCGACUGAAGCUGUCUGUUCAGUUUUCCAAUAGUACAAUGAAAUUGGAAAACUGUCCCAUGCCGGCACUACGUAAGACACGAGACGACACAUCACAACACAACGCACUGCAGGUGAAUGAUGGUGGAGAAGGUGACAUUCUCCAAAGAGCUGCUGUAGCAAGGAGGUGGAGGGGAGGAGCUGAGCUUCGAGGAGCUGCAAGCUGAAAACUACAAUUGGGAGCAGGUGGAAGUGGAGGAGAAACUGAAACCUCUGAGCGAGGAGGAGCUACUUGUUGGAGUUACUACCUCUGAUGUUGGAGUAACCCAGGGGUGGGGGAACUCCAGGCCUCAAAUGCCAGUUUCCUGCAGAUUUUACAUAAUGAUACAUAAUAAAAUAUAAAAUAAUAAACUAUUGUAUAUUAGUAGUAUAGUAGUAUAUUGUAAUAUACUAAUAAAUAUUGUAAUAUACUAUUGCUGUUAUAAAAAAAGGAAAAA